rnacentral:rRNA from 1 species
AGAGUUUGAUCCUGGCUCAGAUUGAACGCUGGCGGCGUGCUUAACACAUGCAAGUCGAACGGAAAGGCCCUUUUUGGGUGCUCGAGUGGCGAACGGGUGAGUAACACGUGGGUGAUCUGCCCUGCACUCUGGGAUAAGCCUGGGAAACUGGGUCUAAUACCGGAUAGGACUACGGGAUGCAUGUCUUGUGGUGGAAAGUU